rnacentral:misc_RNA from 1 species
UGCCACAGUGGGCCUGGCC